rnacentral:rRNA from 1 species
UAAAGUUUAGAAAGUCUGUUCGACUUUUAAAUAUUUACAUGAUUUGAGUUCAGACCGGCGUGAGCCAGGUCGGAUUCUAUCUUCUUUUUUAGAUAUCAGUACGAAAGGACCAAAUCUUAAGUUUUUCACU